rnacentral:misc_RNA from 1 species
AAAAGAAGACUCACGCGUGGAGAACGCGUGGUGGUGGCGGAGGCGGCGGCCCCGACAGGGGGGCCACCCCGCCGGAAUCGAUGGGCGGACGCCUGUCGCGAUGCCGAGCGUGAUAUGACCAUCUGCGCUCGAGCGCGGCGAGGCUCCCAGCCCCGGGCCCGAGAGUUUGGGCGGGGAGAGCAAGACAUU